rnacentral:rRNA from 1 species
GUCUAUGGCCACCCUGAACACGCCCGAUUUUGUCUGAUCUCGGAAGCUAAGCAGGGUCAGGCCUCGUUAGUACUUGGAUGGGAGACCACCUAGGAAGAUCAGGUUCUGUAGGCU